CUCAAAGUUUGUUGUUCUCCGCCACACAAAACCAAACAAGAAAUGAAGCAUUGAGAAACGAAUACGAAUAAAGGCCAGAGAAGUGAGAGAUGACAUUUUAGACAGAGAAUGAGCUCCCUUUUACCUUAUCUCUACCUAUUUGCUAAUUUAGAGAAGUCUAAUCUGAAUGUCUAUUAUCUUGGCCAUAGUGCGAAAAUUGUAAGUAUCACGUCUCACAACUUUCCUCCAUUUUGUCGCAUUUUACUUUUAUGAAGAUAAACGAUUCAAAACCAAAUCUCGAAACCUCAUCAAAAAAGCCUAGAACACUACACCCUUGCCCAGUAAGGAAUAAGCACAAACACUCGUGCUACAUAUAUUUUUCGUGAUUGAACAAAGAAGAGCACCUCUUACUCCUACUCUGGAUU